rnacentral:misc_RNA from 1 species
GAUGAAGAACGCAGCGAAAUGCGAUACUUGGUGUGAAUUGCAGAAUCCCGUGAACCAUCGAGUCUUUGAACGCAAGUUGCGCCUCAAGCCAUUAGGUUGAGGGCACGUCUGCCUGGGCGUCACAUAUCGUUGCCUGAUGCCAGUUUCCUCGUGAUGGGUGACUGUGCAGGGCGAAUGAUGGCUUCCCGUGAGCAUUGUUGCCUCAUGGUUGGUUGAAAAUUGAGUCCUUGGUAGGGAGCGCCGUGAUAGAUGGUGGUUGAGUGACGAACGAGACCCAAUCAUGUGAGACCCCUACCGAAUUUGGCCUUCAUGACCCACAUGCGUCUUUGGAACGCUCAUGACGAGACCUCAGGUCAGGCGGGCUACCCGCUGAGUUUAAGCAUAUCAAUAAGCGGAGGA